GCUCCAGUGGCGCAAUCGGUUAGCGCACGGUACUUAUAAUGCCGAGGUUGUGAGUUCGAGCCUCACCUGGAGCA